ensembl:lncRNA
GUAGUGGCAACCUUCACACCAGCUCCUGCUAGAGGGAGGGAAGGUGGCAACCUUCACACCAGCUCUUGCUAGAGGGAGGGAGGAGUAGUGGCAACCUUCACACCAGCUCUUGCUAGAGGGAGGGGGGGGUAGUGGCAACCUUCAGUGUAGUGGUAGGAGGAGGAGAACAAGGGCUAUUCUGAGCACUAUAGAGAAAGGGAGAAGGAGGAGGAUAGAGGUAUGGAGGAAGGUGGAUUAAAGGGUAUAUUUUAAGCACUACAGGGUUGGAGGGAGGGGGUUAUUCUAAGUACUUCAGAUAGACAUCUACUGUACACACAGGUACAGUACACUGGGAUAGGUCUAUAGACCUGCUAUAAAAACACUGUAUAAAGGAGGGAUCACAGGUUCAGGGAGGGAGAGAGAAAAAGAGAGGGAUCACAGGUUCAGGGAGAAGGAGAGGAUGAGGAGGAUGACUCACUGCGCUGGACAGUAGACUCCUAGUCGUACUGAAGAGGAGGAUUGUGGGGGUGAAUAAGCUCCGAUGUCCAGGAGGAAUACAAGACAAACAUGAAUACAGUAACAGAACACUAACACAUUCUACCCCUGAGAAGAACAGGCAGGAUGACUCACUGUCUAAAGCACUUACAAUGACUUACAGGACUUACCAGCAAUACACUGUUGCACUCUUCAAUUUCAUCAUUACUCUGUGGUACUCUAUGGUAUGCUAUGAUACUGUAAUUAGUGUGGUGCUCUUUAAUACACAGAAUUUCGCUGUGGUACUCUUCAGUACUCUGUGGUACUGUUUAAUACGGUCCUUAUUAUGGUUCUUUUCAAUACUCUAUUACUCUUAGUGAAAAGGAGUUUGGUCACAUGAUUACACUGACUGAAUAGUGAUAGAAGCAACCACACCAACAUGUACUGUGACUUUAACACUGUAGCUGGUUAAUGUCUGCUUUCACAGGGUGAACAGUGUUUCAUCUGAUCCUACUGGUGCCCUGUCACACAGACCUGAUGCACAGCAAACACUUCCAUCCAGUCCUUCAUGGAGAUCUGAUAUGCAAGUGUACUUUUUAAAACACGGUUGGACCAAAUGCUGCCAGAUAUAUGAGAAUGAUGAACAAAUGUGGAUAGUUUUUCUAAUUCAUGAAAUCAACAAUAUUCUGCUGAACGUGGUAUCAUAGUUAACAUUGCUUUACAAACCAUAUCUGACAGUUUGAUUCCUAUUCUGCUGUAUGUUCUACUACUUGACUGCCUGCCACUACAGAUGCAUGUAUGGAGUUUGCUCUGAUACCAAUCCUCUCUCACCAUUUCUUCACACACACACUUUACACAUUGUAUUUGUAGCAUCUGUGCACAACUUCUAUGCAGUCCUUACAAUUAAUACUCAGAGAAGCUUGUGAAGGUCUUAAUCACUAUGCCUUAAAAGUUGUUUAAAUGAUUUUGUAAUGCAUGAUUUUCAGUUGUACUUGUUCCGGUGUACUCUGGAUAGAUUUUUCUAAAUGAUUUGUUUCUAUUUAAUUGGUUUUGGGGGAGAUCUGGGGGCUUGUAUUUUCAUUCAGUGAUACAGUAGUUACCACUGUAAGUGAUAUUGCUGCAAUGUUCAUAAAUCUUCCAACUGUUCAGUUGUCUUGAAAUAUUUUGUAUAGAAUAUGGUGCUCUAGUGUUUCUUAUACCCUACACAUACAGUACUUACUGUUUAGUAUAUAUGAAGCACUAGACUACCAUACUGUAUGGCUUUGUUGUAACUGAGUACAGAAGGUGGUACAUGAUUACUGAUUAGUCAUUUUACGCUGUGAAUUUGUACUUCACAAUACCAAUCUGUUUUCUAUUGAAUUAAAUAUUGCAUGGCAAUCAAA